rnacentral:rRNA from 1 species
AACGAACGCUGGCGGCAUGCCUAACACAUGUAAGUCGAACGAGACCUUCGGGUCUAGUGGCGCACGGGUGCGUAACGCGUGGGAACCUGCCCUUAGGUUCGGAAUAACUCCCCGAAAGGGGUGCUAAUACCGGAUAAUGUCUUCGGACCAAAGAUUUAUCGCCUUUGGAUGGGCCCGCGUUGGAUUAGCUAGUUGGUAGGGUAAAAGCCUACCAAGGCGACGAUCCAUAGCUGGUCUGAGAGGAUGAUCAGCCACACUGGGACUGAGACACGGCCCAGACUCCUACGGGAGGCAGCAGUGGGGAAUAUUGGACAAUGGGCGAAAGCCUGAUCCAGCAAUGCCGCGUGAGUGAUGAAGGCCUUAGGGUUGUAAAGCUCUUUUACCCGGGAUGAUAAUGACAGUACCGGGAGAAUAAGCUCCGGCCAACUCCGUG